GAUGAACGCUGGCGGCGUGCCUAAUACAUGCAAGUCGAGCGAACAGAUGAGAAGCUUGCUCCUCUGACGUUAGCGGCGGACGGGUGGGUAACACGUGGAUAACCUACCUAUAAGACUGGGAUAACUUCGGGAAACCGGAGCUAAUACCGGAUAAUAUUUUGAACCGCAUGGUUCAAUAGUGAAAGACGGUUUUGCUGUCACUUAUAGAUGGAUCCGCGCUGCAUUAGCUAGUUGGUAAGGUAACGGCUUACCAAGGCAACGAUGCAUAGCCGACCUGAGAGGGUGAUCGGCCACACUGGAACUGAGACACGGUCCAGACUCCUACGGGAGGCAGCAGUAGGGAAUCUUCCGCAAUGGGCGAAAGCCUGACGGAGCAACGCCGCGUGAGUGAUGAAGGUCUUCGGAUCGUAAAACUCUGUUAUUAGGGAAGAACAAAUGUGUAAGUAACUAUGCACAUCUUGACGGUACCUAAUCAGAAAGCCACGGCUAACUACGUG
rnacentral:rRNA from 1 species